rnacentral:rRNA from 1 species
UACGGAGGGGGCUAGCGUUGUUCGGAAUUACUGGGCGUAAAGCGCACGUAGGCGGCUUUUGCAAGUUAGAGGUGAAAAGCCCCGGGGCUCAACUCCGGAAUUGCCUUUAAAACUGCAUCGCUAGAAUUGUGGAGAGGUAAGUGGAAUUCCGAGUGUAGAGGUGAAAUUCGUAGAUAUUCGGAAGAACACCAGUGGCGAAGGCGACUCACUGGACAUGUAUUGACGCUGAGGCGCGAAAGCGUGGGGAGCGAACAGG